UACGUAGGGUGCGAGCGUUGUCCGGAAUUAUUGGGCGUAAAGAGCUCGUAGGCGGUCUGUUGCGUCGGCUGUGAAAACCCGGGGCUCAACUCCGGGCCUGCAGCCGAUACGGGCAGACUAGAGUUCGGCAGGGGAGACUGGAAUCCUGGUGUAGCGGUGAAAUGCGCAGAUAUCAGGAGGAACACCGGUGGCGAAGGCGGGUCUCUGGGCCGAUACUGACGCUGAGGAGCGAAAGCGUGGGGAGCGAACAGG
rnacentral:rRNA from 1 species